rnacentral:tRNA from 1 species
CGGGACAUGGCGCAGUUCGGUAGCGCACCGCUCUGGGGGAGCGGAGGUCGCCGGUUCGAAUCCGGCUGUCCCGACCA